UGGGGAAUAUUGCACAAUGGGGGGAACCCUGAUGCAGCGACGCCGCGUGAGUGAAGAAGUAUUUCGGUAUGUAAAGCUCUAUCAGCAGGAACGAAAAUGACGGUACCUGACUAAGAAGCCCCGGCUAACUACGUGCCAGCAGCCGCGGUAAUACGUAGGGGGCAAGCGUUAUCCGGAUUUACUGGGUGUAAAGGGAGCGUAGACGGCAUGGCAAGUCUGGAGUGAAAGCCCACAGCUCAACUGUGGGACUGCUCUGGAAACUGUUAAGCUGGAGUGCGGGAGGGGUAAGCGGAAUUCCUAGUGUAGCGGUGAAAUGCGUAGAUAUUAGGAGGAACACCGGCGGCGAAGGCGGCUUACUGGACCGUAACUGACGUUGAGGCUCGAAAGCGUGGGGAGCAAACAGG
rnacentral:rRNA from 1 species